rnacentral:rRNA from 1 species
UGGUGGGUUGCCUUGUCAGGUUGAUUCCGGUAACGAACGAGACCUCAGCCUGCUAAAUAGUCAACAUCGUCUCACGGCGGUGUGCAGACUUCUUAGAGGGACUAUGGGCGUUUAGUCCAUGGAAGUAUGAGGCGAUAACA